GUGGGGAAUCUUCCGCAAUGGACGAAAGUCUGACGGAGCGACGCCGCGUGAGUGAAGAAGGCCUUCGGGUCGUAAAGCUCUGUCAUCAGGGACGAACGGCCGGUGGAGUGGAAAGCCACCGGAUUGACGGUACCUGAGAAGGAAGCCACGGCUAACUACGUGCCAGCAGCCGCGGUAAUACGUAGGUGGCAAGCGUUGUCCGGAAUUAUUGGGCGUAAAGCGCGCGCAGGUGGGAUCUUAAGUCCAUUUUGAAAGUUCGGCGCUCAACUCCGUGAUGGGAUGGAAACUGGGAUUCUUGAGUACCGGAGAGGAAAGCGGAAUUCCCCGUGUAGCGGUGAAAUGCGUAGAUAUGGGGAGGAACACCAGUGGCGAAGGCGGCUUUCUGGACGGUGUCUGACACUGAGGCGCGAAAGCUAGGGGAGCGAACGGGAUUAGAUACCCUGGUAGUCC
rnacentral:rRNA from 1 species